rnacentral:rRNA from 1 species
UCUGGUGAUUAUGGCUUGAAGGUAACACCCGUUCCCAUACCGAACACGAUGGUUAAGCUUCAAAGCGCCGAUGGUACUGCACUGGAGACGGUGGGGAAGAGUAGGUCGUCGCCGGGG